AGCCCCCCAUGCGGAGCCUCCCCUGUGCGCCUUCCUAUCCACCAUGGCAACAUUCUAGAGCGAAACGCGGCGCUCGGGGACGACGCUGAGCGCAGGAGGGUUACUGCUGCAGCUGAUCGCCCUCAGUUGAACAGCUGCACCCCGACGUUGGCCCCGUAUUUAGACGCCGUGUUGGUGCGAGGGGCCGGUGGCUGUUACGUUGGUUGAGGCGCGCUCGCCCUAGCGGCGCUCUCACAGGGCCCGAGGCGGGAAAGAGCGCGCCGCGUGCCGAGGUGCUGCCGCGUGCCGCUGGGGGGCAGCAGAGCGCCGGGCAGCAAAGCGCAGCUGAGGGGAACGGCCUGGAGGCUCCGCGCGUGAGCCCCGCAACGUUGGGCGGCCGCCUCGUGCCGGGUUCGUCCCGCCGGGUUCGGGGAACGCUACUCACGUGCUUCAGCCACAGCCCCAGCUAGAAAUGAGCUAAAGCAUCAAAGGCCAGAUCACAGCCCGUGUUCCCCAAAAUUCAGUGUUUAAACCAGAAGAGUUUGGAAACGGCUGAUCUCUAGAGGCAGUGAAGAGCCAUUGUAUCCAGAAAUACAGCUGGACGCGGAGUUCUGUUCGUACCAAUCCAUCGGGACACGGGCUGACUUCUCGCAGCGGCGGUGGGACCGC